rnacentral:misc_RNA from 1 species
GAUGAAGAACGCAGCGAAAUGCGAUAAGUAAUGUGAAUUGCAGAAUUCAGUGAAUCAUCGAGUCUUUGAACGCACAUUGCGCCCCCUGGUAUUCCGGGGGGCAUGCCUGUCCGGGCGUCAUUGCUGCCCUCAAGCACGGCUUGUGUGUUGGGCCGUCGUCCCCCUCCUAGGGGACGGGCCCGAAAGGCAGCGGCGGCACCGCGUCCGGUCCUCGAGCGUAUGGGGCUUCGUCACCCGCUCCGUAGGCCCGGCCGGCGCUUGCCGACGACCAUCAAUCUCUUUCUCCAGGUUGACCUCGGAUCAGGUAGGGAUACCCGCUGAACUUAAGCAUAUCAAUAAGCGGAGGA